AAACAAUAAACGACAUAUUGGCUGAAAAAAGGGUAGUAUCUGGAUCAGGCUAUUUGGAAGCACUGGAAAGAGAUUUUUACUCAGCAUUACAGUUAGCAUUCUACGGCCCUGAGAUUGAGUCAGAUCUCCUUCCUGAGUUUUUUGAAGCUGAGGAGCGAUCAGUAUAUGAAACAGCUGAGGUUCUACACCUGGUUUAUGGGCGAGAUCUUUUCG
rnacentral:misc_RNA from 1 species